AUGCAUGUGGUGUGUUCUGUGUGAGGUAACAAUGUUUGGUGUAAAUAUGUCAAAGCUUUGCAGAGAUACAGCCUCAGAUGCAGUUUGGCAUUUUUCCAGCAAAUUUGUUUACAUGCAAAACAAAAACCGUGUCAUGUAUCAAAACGAAAUCCAUAACUUUUUGACCAUCUAGGAGGAGUUUGAAAAAGUAGGUUUUCAACAUAAAUCAUAAUGGCGGACAGGAAAUUCAGCAAAUUAUGCCUGCCAUAGACUCAAGAGUAGAAGAAACUGAAAAAAUGGAAAUGGAAGAAAAAGAAUAAGAACGCCAAUGUACACAAUAGGUGCUUACGUACCUUCGUUGCUUGGCCCCUAAUAAAUAUUUUGCAUAAACCUCUGUAGUCUGGCUAUAUUUAUUCAGUACAGCACUUGUUGGGAAUUUAGUUGGUCAUCAAUUUAAAACAUAUUGUUCUAAAAAUU